UAAAGCCCCCUUUUUAUUUUUUUUAUACUAAAAAUUGUAACGAUGAGAAGAUUAGCAUAGCCCCUGCUCAAGGAUGACCCAAAUUUGUAAAGCGUUCCAUAAAUAA